rnacentral:lncRNA from 1 species
UUUUAUAUUCCCCCUAUCUAGGGUUUCAUAAUAAUGUCGCCUCCUUCUUAAAAUCCUUCUUCUCACAUUUCACAGUCGACUCCACUCGUCUUGUAUACGCCUCCGAAGAUCGGUUCCGCUGCUCGCUACUUCGUGGGUGGUCCCAUUGCUUUCUACUCACCGGCGCAACCUCGCCUUCACUCCGGCAUAACAAGGCAACGACGACUCAGGUAAUCGGUUCCACUGUUCGCUAGUUCAUCGAUGAUCAUUGAAGGUUUUUGUGAAAACAUUGAAGGGGACUCACUUCGAAAUCGAAGUAAAAUCUGAGGACACGGUUCGUCUCGUUUCAAUUCUGCUUCUUUUUUUUUUUAACGAAUCGUGAUGUUUCUAUGUGUAAUCGAUUGGAAGCUAGGGUUUAUGCGUUGUUUGAUCUGAAGUUUUACUCGAUAAUGAUUGUAGUAUAUUUUUGCUUCUUGGAUUAUGAAAUUGAUUCCUUAGGUUUUAAGUUGCGGUAUUCCCUAUUAGUAAUUAGAUUGUGUUUUUUUUUUCGCUCAUGUCAAUUGAUUAGUUUCAGUGAAAAUAUUAAAUAAUCAUAAUCGAAAUACUCCAAAGCAUUUAACUCUGUGUGUUUUUGUUUUAUUCAUUUACCAGGGAGUUAUAUGAAUUGUGAAUCACUGUGAAUUAUUAGAAUUGAUAUGUGAAAUUGUUGGAUGAAUCAUGUUUCAUGCUUACAUGAUUGUUUUUUUUGUUUUCAAGAAUAGUAAAUUACUGUUAAAACUGAAAUGAUAAGUAUGUGGUUGAAGUUGCCACCUUUUUAGAGAAAUAAGUUGCUCUUAUAUUCGGUAUAGUCUAUGAACUCAUUGAAUUGAUCUAGUUAUUAUCCACAAAGUGAUUACUUAUUUACUUGAGAAAACAACGACAAACGGAGUAAAUGGUAUUUGACUUUUUUCAGGUUUAAUAAUUUAAUGUUGGAAAUCAAUCAGCUGAAUGUUUCACAUAGCUAUAUAAAGCUAUUUUAGGUUAAUACAAUCUAUAUAUAAGACAAUCAUUUAAACUGUGGAUUUCUCGUAACGGAUUUUAUAUUUUGUUUCUAUCUAUCUUUCUCUUAAUCAACUUGAGCUCUGUAUAAACAUAUAGUGAUUGUUAAUUCAUGUUGCUGAUGUGAAGAAAAAUAUAGUAUUCAGGUUAUGAUUAAUCAUUCAUGAUUAGAAGUAUUAAAUUUAUUUAUUAUGCUUAAUCAUACAUGAUUACAAGUAUUGAGUUUAUAUAUUUGCUAUUCUAACUUGCAUUUAUGUUUUAAUUUUUGUAGGUUUGGUAACAACAAAAAAAGCUUAAGUUCAUAUAAAGGCAAUCCGUUUCAAGUCAAAAUAUUGAACGCAAGAGCAAUACAUUUUAAGUCAAAAGCUUGGACGCGAAAAAAAGGGAUAGUGAAAAUCGUUGGUGUGUUUUUGAUUGUAACAUGACACUGGUUUAGAUGGUCAUCUCCAGAUGUUAUAACGAUA